UGGGAAUAACAAUCCGAAAGGGUUGCUAAUACUCAAUAAAUGCUUCGGCACAAAAGCGGAAUGAAAAUUCCGUUGCUUGAAGAGGGGUCAAUGUCCUAUCAGCUAGUUGGUGGGGUAAUAGCCCACCAAGGCGAAGACGGGUAGCCGGCCUGAGAGGGUGGUCGGCCACACUGGGACUGAGAUACUGCCCAGACUCCUACGGGAGGCUGCAGUCGAGAAUCUUUCGCAAUGCCCGAAAGGGUGACGAAGCGACGCCGCGUGCGGGAGGAAGGCCUUCGGGUUGUAAACCGCUGUCGGGAGUUAAGAAUGCAAGAAUGUUAAUAGCGUUCUUGCUUGACUAAGGCUCCGGAGGAAGCCACGGCUAACUCUGUGCCAGCAGCCGCGGUAAUACAGAGGCGGCAAGCGUUGUUCGGAAUUAUUGGGCGUAAAGAGCACGUAGGCGGCUGUGUAAGUCGGUUGUGAAAGCCUUCCGCUCAACGGAAGAACGGCAUCCGAUACUGCAUAGCUUGAGUGUGGGAGGGGAGAGUGGAACUUCUGGUGGAGCGGUGAAAUGCGUAGAUAUCAGAAGGAACACCGGCGGCGAAGGCGACUCUCUGGUCCAUAACUGACGCUGAUGUGCGAAAGCUAGGGGAGCAAACGGGAUUAGAUACCCCGGUAGUCCUAGCCGUAAACGAUGGGCACUAAGUAGAGGGGUUUUGAUAUCUCUCUGCCGGAGCUAACGCAUUAAGUGCCCCGCCUGGGGAGUACGGCCGCAAGGCUAAAACUCAAAAGAAUUGACGGGGGCUCGCACAAGCGGUGGAGCAUGUGGCUUAAUUCGAUGCAACGCGAAGAACCUUACCGGGGUUUGACAUGUAGAAGUAGAGCCUGAAAAGGUACGAACUAUCCAGUGUAACUAUCACAGGUGUUGCAUGGCUGUCGUCAGCUCGUGUCGUGAGACGUUGGGUUAAGUCCCCUAACGAGCGAAACCCUUGUCUUUAGUUGCCAACAGGUAAUCUGGGCACUCUAAAGAAACUGCCGUCGUCAAGACGGAGGAAGGUGGGGAUGACGUCAAGUCAUCAUGGCCCUUAUAUCCCGGGCUGCACACGUGCUACAAUGGUCGGUACAAAGGGAUGCUAAGCCGCAAGGUGGAGCGAAACCCAGAAAGCCGAUCCCAGUU
rnacentral:rRNA from 1 species